rnacentral:rRNA from 1 species
ACGGGAGGCAGCAGUGGGGAAUAUUGGGCAAUGGGCGAAAGCCUGACCCAGCAACGCCGCGUGAAGGAAGAAGGUCCUCGGAUUGUAAACUUCUUUUAUCAGGGACGAAGAAAGUGACGGUAGCCAAGGAGGAAGCCACGGCUAACUACGUGCCAGCAGCCGCGGUAAUACGUAGGUGGCAAGCGUUGUCCGGAUUUACUGGGUGUAAAGGGAGCGCAGGCGGGACAGCAAGUUGGAUGUGAAAUACCGAGGCUUAACCACGGAGCUGCAUCCAAAACUGUUGUUCUUGAGUGAAGUAGAGGUAGGCGGAAUUCCGAGUGUAGCGGUGAAAUGCGUAGAUAUUCGGAGGAACACCAGUGGCGAAGGCGGCCUACUGGGCUUUAACUGACGCUGAGGCUCGAAAGUGUGGGGAGCAAACAGGAUUAGAUACCCUGGUA